rnacentral:lncRNA from 1 species
GGAUGAGCAGAACAGACAUGUUCCUGCCCUCAGGGAGCCUCAAGUCUAGUGGGAGAGGCAACUAUGAACCAAGUCAUCAGCCAAGGUGAGGACCUGAAGGAAAGGUGACCAUCCUGCAGGAGCUCCUAAGCAAGAGGCCACACCACGACCAGUUUGCCUGGAUGUCCCACUAAGAUACAGUCUGCACUGUAUCUUAUCUUAUCCAUCACUACAGACCCCAGCCUUUGGCCAGGUGCGUCAUCUGUAGAUGCUACAUGAGCCCCUGUGCCUUGCUGCUCAUGGCUCGUCAAUCCACGCCAACGUCUGGAUGUAGACAAUCUAGAAGAGAUCUCCAGGACCUUGGAGAAUUCCCAGGCUCUAGGAAACAUUGGAGCUACACAUUGGAAGGAGCCUGGAUCCCUGAGUCUCCCCAUGGUGAUCUGUCCAUGAGAGCUGCCCAGCCAAGUACGUUCACAUUGCACAGAGAG